AUGUCAUUAAAGGCCUGUCUCCAUGGGCAGAGGUCACUCCCAACUCACUGGCCCCAAACUCAACUCUGAGGCCCUGGGAACAAUGAGUUCACAUCUGUGCCUUGAGAACAGGACUGUCAAUCCCUGGUGGGGGCUCCCAGGCCUCUGAGUGAGGCAAAGUCCUGAGACAUGCCUGAUCCCCAUUAAGAAGACAACCCCACCAAAUGACCAGGCCAGAAGCCCUACCAACAGAAUCAGACCUGCCUGGUGCUCCUGAGAUGUUGCAACCUCUUCACCAGGGAAACCGUGGCAGAAACUGAUCUCCUUUCCGAGAUCUCUGGCCUUUGUUUUUCCAGGGGAAAUGCAAUAUUGUCCCCAGGGAGGUUGGAGAGGUGGGGGAUCCAGCGUCACUCUCAACGCCCUCUUUGUACCAACCACAGAGGAAUCCAACAAGGGCUGAAGGGAGCACUCGAGCUCUCUGGUUAAACAGCCCCUGGCUUUAAUCUGUCUCUCUUAAAACAACAAAACUAUCUUUCUUCGGAGUCUGGAAAUGCUGCUGUUCAACCAAAUGAGGGCUCUGGUAGGGUGAAAACAUUUGCUGGAAAGUGUGUGAGGUUAUGCUUUAGGAAAAGUUCCUGAGAGCCAUUCAUCGGCCAGCAAGGAGCCUGCUGACAGUCUCCAAAGCCCAUGCUUGAAGAUCAAAUAGACCCUGAUUUGUUUUUAAAAUGCACCCACCCCAUCACCACCCUGGGCCAGCUCCUCAAAUUGUUCUUGGGUCUAACUCUUUGAAAGGGCCGCAGAAAGCAAGUCCCGAACGAAAGAAAAACAGGACUCCUCUUGGUUUGCCUUAAUCUACAGACCCUUCACCACCUGCCGGAACGUCCAACUGCACCAAUUUGUCCUGUUAUCAUUUUGGAGGGAGGUGAUGAAAUACCUCUUCCAAGCCCUUGGGCAGCCUUGAACUAACUGAAAAGGGUGGAAUUCCAGAACCUGGGUAGAUGGGUUGUUAAGGAUCCCAAAACCCAAAGUCAGAAAUGCAACAGCCCUCUCAGUAAAAUUGCAUGCGCAUAUGCACUGUUUGAUAUGAACAUCUGUGAUACAUUAUUGUACUAAAAUAUCUGCUAAGUGCAUCA